UCUUACGCUUAUAUCCUGCUGAAUAAACCGGAUCCCGUCCGAUCUCCAAAGUUAAUCAGCUGCGAGUUAUCUUAGUACUUAGAUGAGAAACCUCCUGGGAACCGUUUGUGGUGUAAAUU
rfam:Strongyloides stercoralis strain PV0001 genome assembly, scaffold: SSTP_scaffold0000007